rnacentral:sRNA from 1 species
UUUUUAACGAGUCGAGACGGCGGUUGUUUCCUACAUACAGUACGUGCACAAUACAAGCGCGAAAUACAACUUCUUUUGCUUCAAAACGGCGU